CAGUCGCCACGGUAAUACGUAGGUGGCAAGCGUUGUCCGGAAUUAUUGGGCGUAAAGGGCUCGCGGGCGGUUUCUUAAGUCUGAUGUGAAAGCCCCCGGCUCAACCGGGGAGGGUCAUUGGAAACUGGGAAACUUGAGUGCAGAAGAGGAGAGUGGAAUCCCACGUGUAGCGGUGAAAUGCGUAGAGAUGUGGAGGAACACCAGUGGCGAAGGCGACUCUCUGGUCUGUAACUGACGCUGAGGAGCGAAAGCGUGGGGAGCGAACAGGAUUAGAUACCCGCGUAGUCCCUGUCUCUUAUAC
rnacentral:rRNA from 1 species